rnacentral:rRNA from 1 species
CCUACGGGAGGCUGCAGUGAGGAAUAUUGGUCAAUGGGCGAGAGCCUGAACCAGCCAAGUAGCGUGAAGGAUGACUGCCCUACGGGUUGUACACAUCUUUUAUCAAGGAAUAAAGUGAGGCACGUGUUCCUUUUUGUAUGUACUUUAUGAAUAAGGAUCGGCUAACUCCGUUCCAGCAGCCGCGGUAAUACGGAGGAGCCGAGCGUUAUCCGGAUUGCUUGGGGUUAAAGGGAGCAUAGGUGGGUUUUUCAGUCAGUUGUGAAAUUUUGAGGCUCAACCGUAAAAUUGCAAUUGAUACUGGCCGCCGUGAGUACAUUUGAGGUAGGUGGAAUGAGUGGUGUAGCUGUGAAAUGCUUAGAUAUCACGAAGAACUCCGAUUGCGAAGGCAGCUUACUAACCUGCCACUGACAUUGAUGCUCGAAAGUGGGGGUAUCAAACAGGAUUAGAUACCCGAGUAGUA